rnacentral:rRNA from 1 species
CGCGUAGGCGGCUCCUUAAGUCAGGCGUGAAAGCCCGAGGCUCAACCUCGGAAGUGCGUCUGAAACUAGGGAGCUUGAGUACGGGAGAGGGAAGUGGAAUUCCUGGUGUAGAGGUGAAAUUCGUAGAUAUCAGGAGGAACACCGGUGGCGAAGGCGACUUCCUGGACCGAUACUGACGCUGAGGCGCGAAAGCGUGGGGAGCAAACA